GUGUUGAGUGAACGGAGAAGUUUGCAUUGCCCUCGGCAACAAAGGGAGAGGCCCUCUGGCCUGACAACACGCGUACAGAGGUGGCUUAAGUCAUGGUCACCUAACGAUGGUUUUUCUAAAGUCAUAU
ensembl:snRNA U6atac minor spliceosomal RNA